rnacentral:rRNA from 1 species
GAUGAACGCUGGCGGCGUGCCUAAUACAUGCAAGUCGAGCGAACAGACGAGGAGCUUGCUCCUCUGACGUUAGCGGCGGACGGGUGAGUAACACGUGGAUAACCUACCUAUAAGACUGGGAUAACUUCGGGAAACCGGAGCUAGUACCGGAUAAUAUAUUGAACCGCAUGGUUCAAUAGUGAAAGACGGUUUUGCUGUCACUUAUAGAUGGAUCCGCGCCGCAUUAGCUAGUUGGUAAGGUAACGGCUUACCAAGGCAACGAUGCGUAGCCGACCUGAGAGGGUGAUCGGCCACACUGGAACUGAGACACGGUCCAGACUCCUACGGGAGGCAGCAGUAGGGAAUCAUCCGCAAUGGGCGAAAGCCUGACGGAGCAACGCCGCGUGAGUGAUGAAGGUCUUCGGAUCGUAAAACUCUGUUAUUAGGGAAGAACAAAUGUGUAAGUAACUAUGCACGUCUUGACGGUACCUAAUCAGAAAGCCACGGCUAACUACGUG